UACAGAGGGGGCAAGCGUUGUUCGGAAUUACUGGGCGUAAAGGGCGCGUAGGCGGCCUGUUAAGUCGAACGUGAAAUCUCCAGGCUUAACUUGGAAACUGCCAUUGAUACUAUCAGUCUUGAAUACCGUGGAGGUCAGCGGAAUAUGUCAUGUAGCGGUGAAAUGCUUAGAUAUGACAUAGAACACCAAUUGCGAAGGCAGCUGGCUACACGAAUAUUGACACUGAUGCACGAAAGCGUGGGGAUCAAACAGG
rnacentral:rRNA from 1 species